rnacentral:rRNA from 1 species
UUGGCGGACGGGUGAGUAACGCGUGGGGAACCUGCCCUGUACAGGGGGAUAACACUUAGAAAUAGGUGCUAAUACCGCAUAAGCGCACAGUAUCGCAUGAUACAGUGUGAAAAACUCCGGUGGUACAGGAUGGACCCGCGUCUGAUUAGCUGGUUGGCGGGGUAACGGCCCACCAAGGCGACGAUCAGUAGCCGGCCUGAGAGGGUGAACGGCCACAUUGGGACUGAGACACGGCCCAAACUCCUACGGGAGGCAGCAG